UAGGGAAUAUUGGUUAAUGUGCGAAAGCGCGAACCAGCAACGCCGCGUGUGCGAUGAAGGCCUUCGGGUCGUAAAGCACUUUUUGCAGGGAAGAGGAAGGACGGUACCUGCAGAAUAAGUCUCGGCUAACUACGUGCCAGCAGCCGCGGUAAAACGUAGGAGACGAGCGUUAUCCGGAUUUACUGGGCGUAAAGCGCGUGCAGGCGGCAUGGCAAGUUGGAUGUGAAAGCUCCCGGCUUAACUGGGAGAGGUCGUUCAAUACUGCCAGGCUUGAGAGUGGUAGAGGGAAGCGGAAUUCCGGGUGUAGUGGUGAAAUGCGUAGAUAUCCGGAGGAACACCAGUGACGAAAGCGGCUUCCUGGCCCAUUUCUGACGCUCAAAAGCGAAAGCUAGGGUAGCA
rnacentral:rRNA from 1 species